GAAGUGGCCGCUUGGGAUGCCCUCCUCCAGGACAUCGCCCUCCUCCCGAUGAACGUCGCCGACACCCCAGACGCCAUCUCUUGGCGACUGGAGCCCUCCGGCUGCUUCUCCACCAAAUCCCUCUACGCGGCCACCGCCCCCUCGACGGCCCCCGAGCCCUUUAGUUUGAUUUGGGACAUCCGCUUGCCCCUAAAGAUCAGGAUCUUCCUAUGGCAAUGGAUCCGCUGCCGCCUCUAGUCCGGUGUGGAGGUCCUUAAGCGUAAUGGACCUGGAGACGGGAUUUGUCCCCUGUGCGGCACGGUGGAGGAUGCGAACCACAUCUUCUUCACUUGCUCCACGGCCUAG
rnacentral:rRNA from 1 species